rnacentral:rRNA from 1 species
UAGGGAAUCUUCGGCAAUGGACGAAAGUCUGACCGAGCAACGCCGCGUGAGUGAAGAAGGUUUUCGGAUCGUAAAACUCUGUUGUUCGAGAAGAAUAAGGACGUUAGUAACUGAACGUCCCCUGACGGUAUCUAACCCGAAAGCCACGGCUAACUACGUGCCAGCAGCCGCGGUAAUACGUAGGUGGCAAGCGUUGUUCGGAUUUAUUGGGCGUAAAGCGAGCGCAGGCGGUUUCUUAAGUCUGAUGUGAAAGCCCCCGGCUCAACCGGGGAGGGUCAAUGGAAACUGGGAGACUUGAGUGCAGAAGAGAGGAGUGGAAUUCCAAGUGUAGCGGUGAAAUGCGUAGAUAUAUGGAAGAACACCGGUGGCGAAAGCGGGUCUCUGGUCUGUAACUGACGCUGAGGCUCGAAAGCGUGGGGAGCAAACAGG